CCUACGGGAGGCAGCAGUGAGGAAUAUUGGUCAAUGGACGAGAGUCUGAACCAGCCAAGUAGCGUGAAGGAUGACUGCCCUAUGGGUUGUAAACUUCUUUUAUAUGGGAAUAAAAUGUUCCACGUGUGGGAUUUUGUAUGUACCAUAUGAAUAAGGAUCGGCUAACUCCGUGCCAGCAGCCGCGGUAAUACGGAGGAUCCGAGCGUUAUCCGGAUUUAUUGGGUUUAAAGGGAGCGUAGGUGGAUUGUUAAGUCAGUUGUGAAAGUUUGCGGCUCAACCGUAAAAUUGCAGUUGAAACUGGCAGUCUUGAGUACAGUAGAGGUGGGCGGAAUUCGUGGUGUAGCGGUGAAAUGCUUAGAUAUCACGAAGAACUCCGAUUGCGAAGGCAGUUCACUGGACUGCAACUGACACUGAGGCUCGAAAGUGUGGGUAUCAAACAGGAUUAGAUACACCAGUAGUC
rnacentral:rRNA from 1 species